rnacentral:rRNA from 1 species
GACGAACGCUGGCGGCGUGCUUAACACAUGCAAGUCGAACGAAGCUUGAUUACGGAUUCUUCGGAUGAAGUAUGAUAUGACUGAGUGGCGGACGGGUGAGUAACGCGUGAGUAACCUGCCCUUCAGAGGGGGAUAGCGUUUGGAAACGAACGGUAAUACCGCAUAAUGUAUUUUGACCGCAUGAUCGAAAUACCAAAGAUUUAUCGCUGAAGGAUGGACUCGCGUCUGAUUAGGUAGUUGGUGGGGUAACGGCCUACCAAGCCGACGAUCAGUAGCCGGACUGAGAGGUUGAUCGGCCACAUUGGGACUGAGACACGGCCCAGACUCCUACGGGAGGCAGCUGUGGGGAAUAUUGCACAAUGGGCGCAAGCCUGAUGCAGCAACGCCGCGUGAAGGAAGACGGUUUUCGGAUUGUAAACUUCUGUUCUUAGUGAAGAAUAAUGACGGUAGCUAAAGGAGCAAGCCACGGCUAACCACGUGCCAGCAGCCGCGGUAAUACGUAGGUGGCAAGCGUUGUCCGGAAUUACUGGGUGUAAAGGGAGCGCAGGCGCCUCAUCAAGUCAGCUGUGAAAACUACGGGCUUAACCCGUAGACUGCAGUUGAAACUGUUCAUCUUGAGUGAGGUAGAGGUUGGCGGAAUUCCGAGUGUAGCGGUGAAAUGCGUAGAUAUUCGGAGGAACACCGGUGGCCAAGGCGGCCAACUGGGCUUUAACUGACGCUGAGGCUCGAAAGUGUGGGGAGCAAACAGGAUUAGAUACCCUGGUAGUCCACACUGUAAACGAUAAUUGAUUAGGUGGGGGGGGUUUGACCCCUUCCGUGCUGGAGGUAACGCAAUAAGCAAUCCACCUGGGGAGUACGGCCCGCAAGGGGUGAAACUCAAAGGAAUUGACGGGGAGCCGCACAAGCAGUGGAUUAUGUGGUUUAAUUUGAAGCAACGCGAAGAACCUUACCAGCACUUGACAUCCAACUAACGAAAUAGAGAUAUAUUAGGUGCCCUUCGGGGAAAGUUGAGACAGGUGGUGCAUGGUUGUCGUCAGCUCGUGUCGUGAGAUGUUGGGUUAAGUCCCGCAACGAGCGCAACCCUCGCCAUUAGUUGCUACGCAAGAGCACUCUAAUGGGACCGCUACCGACAAGGUGGAGGAAGGUGGGGGGGACGUCAAAUCAUCAUGCCCCCUAUGUGCUGGGGUACACACGUAAUACAAUGGCCAUCAACAGAGAGAAGCAAUACCGCGAGGUGGAGCAAAACUUCAAAAAUGGUCUCAGUUCGGACUGCAGGCUGCAACCCGCCUGCACGAAGUUGGAAUUGCUAGUAAUCGUGGAUCAGCAUGCCACGGUGAAUAAAAGGCCGGGUCUUGCACA